rnacentral:sRNA from 1 species
GCCAGGUUCAGUGACAUGCGCCUGUAAUCCCAGCAGUUUGGGAGGCUGAGACAGGAGGAUCACAAGUUCAAAGCCAGUCUCAGCAAUGGCGAGGUGCUAAGCAACUCAGUGAGACCCUGUCUCAA